rnacentral:rRNA from 1 species
UACGGGGGGGGCAAGCGUUGUUCGGAAUUACUGGGCGUAAAGGGCUCGUAGGCGGCCAACUAAGUCAGACGUGAAAUCCCUCGGCUUAACCGGGGAACUGCGUCUGAUACUGGAUGGCUUGAGUUUGGGAGAGGGAUGCGGAAUUCCAGGGUGUAGCGGUGAAAUGCGUAGAUAUCUGGGAGGAACACCGGUGGCGAAGGCGGCAUCCUGGACCAACACUGACGCUGAGUGAGCGAAAGCCAGGGGAGCAAAACGGGG